CCUACGGGAGGCAGCAGUAGGGAAUAUUGCUCAAUGGGGGAAACCCUGAUGCAGCAACGCCGCGUGGAGGAUGAAGGUUUUCGGAGUGUAAACUCCUUUUGUCAGAGAAGAUAAUGACGGUAUCUAACGAAUAAGCACCGGCUAACUCCGUGCCAGCAGCCGCGGUAAUACGGAGGGUGCAAGCGUUACUCGGAAUCACUGGGCGUAAAGAGCGCGUAGGCGGGAUAGCAAGUCAGAUGUGAAAUCCUAGGGCUUAACCAUAGAACUGCUUUUGAAACUGUUAUUCUAGAGUGUGGGAGAGGUAAGUGGAAUUCUUAGUGUAGAGGGAAAAUCCGUAGAUAUCAAGAGGAAUACUCGUGGCGAAGGCGACCUGCUAGAACGUAACUGACGCUGAUGAGCGAAAGCGUGGGGAGCAAACAGGAUUAGAUACCCCUGUAGUC
rnacentral:rRNA from 1 species